AGCGUUGUUCGGAAUUACUGGGCGUAAAGGGCUCGUAGGCGGCCAACUAAGUCGGAUGUGAAAUCCCCAAGCUUAACUUGGGAACUGCAUCCGAUACUGGAUGGCUUGAAUCCGGGAGAGGGAUGCAGAAUUCCAGGUGUAGCGGUGAAAUGCGUAGAUAUCUGGAGGAAUACCGGUGGCGAAGGCGGCAUCCUGGACCGGCAUUGACGCUGAGGAGCGAAAGCGUGGGGAGCAAACAGG
rnacentral:rRNA from 1 species